AUGCUCGCUUCAGCAGCACAUUUACUACAAUUGGAAUGAUAGAUCAGCAUGACCCCUGCUCAAGGAUGACAUGCAUGUUCGAGAAGUGUUCCAUAUUUUU
ensembl:snRNA U6 U6 spliceosomal RNA